rnacentral:misc_RNA from 1 species
CUGUCAUGAAAACUCUGGGCAUGGCUUCAGGAAAGGCACGCUUCCGAUUUGUGGCAAUUGAAGUCCCGAGCGGACACCCUGGAGCCCGCCUGCAGAGCGAGGAUCGCCGCUCGCUCUACAGGGUUGGGGCCGGACAACCGGUCGGCGAUGCGAUCGUAUUCGAAAUUUUGUGAAUCCGUCGCCACCGCUGCGGUCUCUCCCUUUACUUGGAUUUUUGGAGAGUGGUUACUGUGAUUUGACCGUUGACCCUGUCGGCAUCGAAUUUGACCUUGUCACCGACUUUGACGGUCUUCAGCAUCGCGGGAUCCUGGACACGGAAAACCAUCGUCAUGCUUUCAUCUUGCAUAUCGAGGUUUUUGAUCGGCCCAUG